rnacentral:rRNA from 1 species
AGCGAACGCUGGCGGCAGGCCUAACACAUGCAAGUCGAACGAACCUUUCGGGGUUAGUGGCGGACGGGUGAGUAACACGUGGGAACGUGCCUUUAGGUUCGGAAUAACUCAGGGAAACUUGUGCUAAUACCGAAUGUGCCCUUCGGGGGAAAGAUUAAUCGCCUUUAGAGCGGCCCGCGUCUGAUUAGCUAGUUGGUUGAGGUAAUGGCUCACCAAGGCGACGAUCAGUAGCUGGUCUGAGAGGAUGAUCAGCCACAUUGGGACUGAGACACGGCCCAAACUCCUACGGGAGGCAGCAGUGGGGAAUCCUGCGCAAUGGGCGAAAGCCUGACGCAGCCAUGCCGCGUGAAUGAUGAAGGUCUUAGGAUUGUAAAAUUCUUUCACCGGGGACGAUAAUGACGGUACCCGGAGAAGAAGCCCCGGCUAACUUCGUG